CCGUAAACGAUGUCUACUUGGAGGUUGUGCCCUUGAGGCGUGGCUUCCGGAGCUAACGCGUUAAGUAGACCGCCUGGGGAGUACGGCCGCAAGGUUAAAACUCAAAUGAAUUGACGGGGGCCCGCACAAGCGGUGGAGCAUGUGGUUUAAUUCGAUGCAACGCGAAGAACCUUACCUGGUCUUGACAUCCACAGAAGAAUCCAGAGAUGGAUUUGUGCCUUCGGGAACUGUGAGACAGGUGCUGCAUGGCUGUCGUCAGCUCGUGUUGUGAAAUGUUGGGUUAAGUCCCGCAACGAGCGCAACCCUUAUCCUUUGUUGCCAGCGGUCCGGCCGGGAACUCAAAGGAGACUGCCAGUGAUAAACUGGAGGAAGGUGGGGAUGACGUCAAGUCAUCAUGGCCCUUACGACCAGGGCUACACACGUGCUACAAUGGCGCAUACAAAGAGAAGCGACCUCGCGAGAGCAAGCGGACCUCAUAAAGUGCGUCGUAGUCCGGAUUGGAGUCUGCAACUCGACUCCAUGAAGUCGGAAUCGCUAGUAAUCGUGGAUCAGAAUGCCACGGUGAAUACGUUCCCGGGCCUUGUACACACCGCCCGUCACACCAUGGGAGUGGGUUGCAAAAGAAGUAGGUAGCUUAACCUUCGGGAGGGCGCUUACCACUUUGUGAUUCAUGACUGGGGUGAAGUCGUAACAAGGUAACCGUAGGGGAACCUGC
rnacentral:rRNA from 2 species